rnacentral:rRNA from 1 species
UACGGAAGGCAGCAGUGGGGAAUAUUGCACAAUGGGCGAAAGCCUGAUGCAGCUAUGCCGCGUGUAUGAAGAAGGCCUUAGGGUUGUAAAGUACUUUCAUCGGGGAGGAAAAAACAAAACUAAUAAUUUUAUUUCUUGACGUUACCCGAAAAAGAAGCACCGGCUAACUCCGUGCCAGCAGCCGCGGUAAUACGGAGGGUGCUAGCGUUAAUCAGAAUUACUGGGCGUAAAGAGCACGUAGGUGGUUUUUUUAAAGUCAGAUGUGAAAUCCCUGGGCUUAACCUGGAACUGCAUUUUGAAACUGAAAUACUAGAGUAUCGUAGAGGGAGGUAGAAUUCUAGGUGUAGCGGUGAAAUGCGUAGAUAUCUGGAGGAAUACCUGUGGCGAAAGCGGCCUCCUAAACGAAUACUGACACUGAGGUGCGAAAGCGUGGGGAGCAAACAGGGAUUAGGAUACC